CUCGCUGUACCUCCCCAACCAGAUUUAGGCCUGGUUUGUACUUUGAUGGGAGACUGCCUAGGAGUACCAGGUGCGGUAAGC
ensembl:rRNA 5S_rRNA 5S ribosomal RNA